rnacentral:rRNA from 1 species
AAAACUUUCAACAACGGAUCUCUUGGUUCUGGCAUCGAUGAAGAACGCAGCGAAAUGCGAUAAAUAAUGUGAAUUGCAGAAUUCAGUGAACCAUCGAAUCUUUGAACGCACAUUGCGCCC